AAGUUGUAAGUAUCAUUAACUUGCCUCCAUGUCGUGAUCCAAUGUAAAAUGGAACUAAAUCCCUUGAGAUCAAUUUUUGAAAAAAAUUUGGGGAGAAAUCGCAUUUAAUGAAGUCCUGUUAUUGAAACGCUUCGUCACCCUUUUCUGGCACGUGCAAUGACGAGACCAACUAUGGUAUGACGUAGUUUAUAGAGGGUUUGAGUGCACUUAAU
rnacentral:lncRNA from 1 species